UAAAAGUUAUAUUAUGUGGCUUUUUUACUUGCUUUGAGGUUAUGUAAAUAUUAACAUGCCAUUUGCUAAGUAGACACACCUGUUCUUGCACAGGCUUGGGAGAAAGUAUAUGGGGUGAACAUUACCAAUGCUGUCAAUAUGGUACAAACUUAUUUAUGAAAAAAAAUAUUAAUAAAAUGUCAUUCCGAGUCAAGUCUGCUGCAUCAGAUGGUCAAUUAGGUAUCAUAUAUUACACUGCAAAACAGCAUCUGCUGUCUCUCCUAAAGUUUGUGCUGACUAAAAGGCAUUCUACUGGUGGUCUUUUAUUUCUUUGUAGUUGAGCUUGUUUGGUGGAUACUUUUGUGGCAUGAUGCUGUGUUGCGUUGAAUCUGGUGCUGAUUGGCUCUGUUCUGUGUGCUCUACCUCUGAUGCAGCUUUUGAUUGAUGCGAUCUGUUUGUCCUGAUUUCUGAUUUGGUUGAGUUGUUUUGUUGCUGGUUUUGUUUGAUUUGUUUUCUGACUGUUUUAGUAAAUGAGUUUGCUGAUCUGCUAUUCUUCUGGUGCUGCUGUUGCUGAGAUGCUGUGGUGAUGCUGCUGUGAUGGUGUUUGUUACGAUAAGGUGCUGCUGUGUUGUUGUUGGAUGUUUGCUGGUGUUGCUGGUGUUUGGAAGGGUGCAUGACUUUUUGUCCAAUCUGUAAUAGAUCAGGUUUUCAUUAAUGGGGGUUGUCAUUAGGUGUAAGUUCGGGCAACUGCUGGUGUUUUGGCUAGAAGGGUAUGGAGGGGGUAUUUUGUGUGAUUUCAUAUCCAUGUUAUUAGUUUGUUAUAGUGGUGCCUGAGGGAUGCCUCUUGUAAAUCUGUAAAUUUUUUAAAAAAUUAUAAAUGAGUUUCAAUUAUUUUUG